rnacentral:tRNA from 1 species
GAACAGAUAGCUCAGUGGGUAGAGCAAUUGAUUCGUCAUCAAUCGGCGGGGGUUCGAGUCCCCCUCCA